rnacentral:rRNA from 1 species
GUCUACAGCCAUGCCACCCUGAACGUGCCAGAUCUCGUCUGGUCUUGGAAGCUAAGCAGGGUCAGACCUGGUUAGUACGUGGGUAGGAGAUCAUCUAGGAAGACCAGGUACUGUAGGUG